ensembl:lncRNA
UGGGGCUAUGGGGUCAGAUGGGGUUCUGAAUCACAGUGAUAGGGUCAGAUUGGAUGGUAGGGACAGAUGGGGUGACAUGGAGUUACGGAUCACAUGGGUUGUAUGGUCGGGGUGAGGUGGGGGCAAGGAUCCCAGAUUUAUGGGCCACAUGGCGUCAGUUCGCAGCAUGAUGGGGGCAGGAAGAGUCAGGGAGUCACAGGGUCAUAUGGGGUUCUGAAUCACAGUGAUAGGGUCAGAUUGGAUGGUAGGGACAGAUGGGGUGACAUGGAGUUAUGGAUCACAUGGGUUGUAUGGUCGGGGUGAGGUGGGGGCAAGGAUCCCAGAUUUAUGGGCCACAUGGCGUCAGUUCGCAGCAUGAUGGGGGCAGGAAGAGUCAGGGAGUCACAGGGUC